rnacentral:misc_RNA from 1 species
UCCUGGUUAACCCAGGCAGUCUCACUAGAGUCCCCGUCUUUCACGUUGGCAACUAAUGAUAAGGGUUGCGCUCGUUGCGGGACUUAACCCAACACCUCACGGCACGAGCUGACGACAGCCAUGCAGCACCUGUGCAAAGACCCUUUCGGGAAUUGUCAUCUCUGACAACGUCCUCUGCAUUUCAAACCCAGGUAAGGUUCUUCGCGUUGCAUCGAAUUAAACCACAUGCUCCACUGCUUGUGCGGGCCCCCGUCAAUUCUUUUGAGUUUCACCCUUGCGAGCGUACUCCUCAGGCGGUAUACUUAUCGCGUUAGCUACGACACAAUCAGGGUUGAGCCUAAUUACAUCAAGUAUACAUCGUUUACGGCAAGGACUAC